CCGUGCCAGCAGCCGCGGGUAAUACGGGAGGGGUGCGAGCGUUAAUCGGAAAUUACUGGGGCGUAAAGCGCAUGCAGGCGGCCUGUUAAGUCAGAUGUGAAAGCCCGGGGCUUAACCUCGGAAUUGCAUUUGAAACUGGCAGGCUAGAGUCUUGUAGAGGGGGGUAGGAAUUUCAGGUGUAGCGGUGAAAUGCGUAGAGAUCUGAAGGAAUACCAGUGGCGAAGGCGGCCCCCUGGACAAAGACUGACGCUCAGAUGCGAAAGCGUGGGGAGCAAACAGGAUUAGAUACCCUGGUAG
rnacentral:rRNA from 1 species